rnacentral:rRNA from 1 species
AUGCAAGUCGAGCGGCAGCGCGGGGCAACCCUGGCGGCGAGCGGCGAACGGGUGAGUAAUGCAUCGGAACGUACCCUGGAGUGGGGGAUAACGCCGCGAAAGCGGCGCUAAUACCGCAUAUGCUCUGAGGAGGAAAGUGGGGGACCGCAAGGCCUCACGCUCUGGGAGCGGCCGAUGUCCGAUUAGCUAGUUGGUGGGGUAAAGGCUUACCAAGGCGACGAUCGGUAGCUGGUCUGAGAGGAUGAUCAGCCACACUGGGACUGAGACACGGCCCAGACUCCUACGGGAGGCAGCAGUGGGGAAUUUUUGGACAAUGGGGGCAACCCUGAUCCAGCCAUGCCGCGUGAGUGAAGAAGGCCUUCGGGUUGUAAAGCUCUUUUGGUCGGGAAGAAAGCGCCUUGCCUAAUACGCGAGGUGGUUGACGGUACCGGCAGAAUAAGCACCGGCUAACUACGUG